CCUACGGGGGGCAGCAGUGAGGAAUAUUGGUCAAUGGACGAGAGUCUGAACCAGCCAAGUAGCGUGAAGGAUGACUGCCCUAUGGGUUGUAAACUUCUUUUAUAUGGGAAUAAAAUGUUCCACGUGUGGGAUUUUGUAUGUACCAUAUGAAUAAGGAUCGGCUAACUCCGUGCCAGCAGCCGCGGUAAUACGGAGGAUCCGAGCGUUAUCCGGAUUUAUUGGGUUUAAAGGGAGCGUAGGUGGAUUGUUAAGUCAGUUGUGAAAGUUUGCGGCUCAACCGUAAAAUUGCAGUUGAAACUGGCAGUCUUGAGUACAGUAGAGGUGGGCGGAAUUCGUGGUGUAGCGGUGAAAUGCUUAGAUAUCACGAAGAACUCCGAUUGCGAAGGCAGUUCACUGGACUGCAACUGACACUGAGGCUCGAAAGUGUGGGUAUCAAACAGGAUUAGAUACCUGUGUAGUC
rnacentral:rRNA from 1 species